AUUGAACGCUGGCGGCAGGCCUAACACAUGCAAGUCGAACGAGUGGCGGACGGGUGAGUAAUGUCUGGGAAACUGCCUGAUGGAGGGGGAUAACUACUGGAAACGGUAGCUAAUACCGCAUACCCUCAGCUGUUCCCAGCUGGGAUUAGCUUUUUGGUGGGGUAACGGCACACCAGGGCGACGAUACCUAGCUGGUCUGAGAGGAUUACCAGCCACACUGGAACUAAGACACGGUCCAGACUCCCACGGGAGGCAGCAGUUGGGAAUAUUGCACAAUGGGCGAAAGCCUGAUGCAGCCAUGCCGCGUGUAUGAAGAAGGCCUUCGGGUUGUAAAGUACUUUCAGCGGGGAGGCGUUACCCGCAGAAGAAGCACCGGCUAACUCCGUGCCAGCAGCCGCGGUAAUUA
rnacentral:rRNA from 1 species